AGGAAGCGGCGAGCGCGCUGGGGAGCGCAGCUGCGGGCGUGGGGGGACAGCAGCCGCGGAGCCGGCCCCGAGAGCAGUCGCGGCAGGAGCGAGCGGCGGAGACAAAGGCUACGUUUGAUUACCUUGUGUCUCGACGUGUUUCUCCUUGGGUUUCUCCUGCCUGGGACUCUGCACUUCCUGGACUUUGGUGGCUAUUUCCUUUCCCAUGUUAGGUAAACACCUAGGAAUGGAAUGGCUGGGUUGUAGGAUAGGGCCAGUUGUGAGUGUGUGGAUUUUUGAGUAAAACCUCGAACCCAAAUGAGAAGAAACCUUCAAGGAACAACUUAUACUGACAGUGAGUCUACAGUCAUCUGUAUGCAUAUUAUGGAAUGUUCUCAACCCAGAGAUAGCUCUCUUGACAAGGAGUGAGUGACUACCUGUUAAGGUCCUGAGUCAAGACAACAAUUUUUAUACCUUUCCUGGUGGUUCAGAAACGAGUCCCUGUAGAAUCAAAAGCAAAGAAAGGAAACAAUCUGACCUUUCGUUUGUUAGAUUGACUAUAUAAGAUACUUGACUUCCAGGAACAAAAACACAGAGAAGUAAUAAAGUUAUUAUUUUGGCAUCUUUGGACAUCUAUCAUAUUGAGAAGCCUGCUUUGUGAAGCUUCCUGAAUUGAGAUUUGGAAACUUCAUUGGUGCUCAUUUAUAACUUGGACUGUAAGCAUGAGUGAAUUCUGGUUGUGUUUCAACUGCUGUAUUGCAGAACAGCCUCAACCUAAAAGGCGCCGGCGGAUUGACCGAAGUAUGAUUGGAGAGCCCACAAACUUUGUGCACACGGCUCACGUGGGGUCAGGAGACCUGUUCAGUGGGAUGAAUUCCGUUAGCUCCAUUCAGAACCAGAUGCAGUCCAAGGGAGGCUACGGGGGUGGCAUGGCUGCCAAUGUGCAGAUGCAGCUCGUGGACAUGAAGGCAGGAUAGCCCUGGACCCCUCCUCCAUGGGAUGGCGUCUUGUUCACCCUGUUGUGAUUACUCCAGUGACACGUUACUAUUCUGCUCUGAAGAAACUGUUGUCAGAAGAAUCCUGCAUUUCCUUCAGCUGGCAUGCAUGCCUUUGGACUCAUGGACAGAGUUCUUUGGAUUGUGGCUUAAUGAUUGAUUUUUAUGAAUGUGGAUCUGAUUUUAGCAUGAUCUUUUUUGUGAAUGCUAGCACUGUUUUGCAUUUUCUCCCGCAUUUUUAACAAUUUCUCUUUCCACCUCCAUCCCCUCUGCCUUAUGAUUUUAUUGGUAAGCAAAGAACUGCUAUUUUAAUUUGUCACCAUUUAUGUAUAUUUUGGAAGGUAUGAGAUCCAUAAGCACAAUGAUCACUUAUAUUCAUUUGAAACUUCAGCAGAGUAGUAUCUGCAUGCUUUAUGAAGUUGCCUGUCUGGGAGCCCAUGGGAUGCCAGAAAUGAACAUUUCCUUGCUGCCACGGGCCGAUGAUACUGCUGCUAUGAGAGAAAGGUUAGCUGUGGCACCAAGUCACAUCAGUUUCACACAAAAAAAGCAAUUUGUAGCUUAUUUUAGAAGUAUGACUUUUAUUUAGAGUUAUAAUAAGAAUAGCUUGCAUCAUAAGGCAUUCAUUCUGUUGUAAAUGUUCGAUAUAUUUAUUUGAGAGCAAGGGCCUGGGAUUGUAGACAGGUGUGGUGAGCUGUAUCUGUGUGUGUGUGGUAAUACCCUCAUUGGGUCUGACUCUGAGCGUUGUGAUCUUAGCAGCUGUUCAUUUCUUUGUGUGCUCAUUCUGUGUUCACAUGUCUAAUAUUAUGGUAUCCAGUUGCUUCCAGUAGCAGUUUGUUGAGCUUUUGGCCUGUAUUCCUAACUGUGGAUUUCAGUCAUUGGCUUCUCCAUCUUCCACAUAUUUUGGGACAAUGGAAGUUGCCAGGAGCAACAGUUGACCUGGCUGUGUUGUUGCCUGUGAAAACAACCUGCACGGUGACUUAUUAAGGUAUUGGUGAGAAACCUUUGGCUCAGGUUCCAAAAUACGUUUAUUCUUCACAAACUGUAUUUUCUGUAAAUGCUUCUCCUUCCUGAUAAGGGUGUAGUGUUAAGCCAAUUAGUGGUUUGUUUUUUCAUGAAAAUGUUUAAAUUACGUCCAGUUCAGCCCUAUGUAACAAACAGUUGCAUUUGGUAGGAAUAACAGUUCAUGUAGGAAAUGGUGCUUAACUGAAAACUGACUUAGAAAGCUGUAAGAAAUUAGGUAAUUGUAUAAAGGAAGAGAUCAUUUCUCUUCACCUUAGUCACAGGUUCUUGUGAAACAGGUAACUAACUAAAUAUUGGGUUUAUAUAGGCAAAACAUGGAAGCAUUUCUUCCCCCAGUUCUUUUGGAUUUAAUUUACCCAGUACAGCAGGCACUAGAAUACUCAGUCCUUAUAGUUCUUCAAUUUUGAGUCUUCGUAGGUAUCAAUCCCAGAGACACUGUCAAGGAAAAACAUAUGCUUAGAUGCUGAGCAGUCAAAAUAGGCAUUUUGCAGUUUAAUAACUUCCAAACUUGAAUUCAUCUUAUGUCAUUAAUUGUGUUGAUACUGCAUUCUGGAUUUUGCCUGAGUACCACUGUCAUUCUGUUCAGCCAGACAGAGCACUGCAGUGUGAAAGCUUUUUUUAAGGCCUCGUCAGUGCUGGAUGCUAUGUAGUCUACUUCUAUUCUGACUUUGACUUUAGUACAGAUUUUAUAACUCGUAGAACAAUACAGGGAGGCAUGGUCCCUUUUCCCCAAUUCAUGAUUUGAUUCUUUUUCCCAAUCACUCACUUUCCUGAUUCUCCAAGGGCCGAAUACUCUAGUGAGCACUGGAGCAUGGCUCCAUGGUAGGCCGAAGGCUGCGCUCUUCAGCCUCUGUUUUGCAGCUGCUGCUGACUUGACAGGCACAGGUAGCCACACUGUGUGCAAGAACACAUGCCCAGAAAGGUGCCAGUAAUUAUAAUUACCAACAAUUUUAAGAUACUAACCUUGGACACAGAGUUUUUAUGGAGUUAGCAGGUCCCACCUGGAUAAAUGGGUUCAUUAAUCUUGGGAGGUCAUUUGCUCCCCAUAACAAUGUGUGAAAAUUGAAGCUAACUAAAUAUGAUUGACUGUUAAUACUUUGCUGAAAUACAUGCUAACAACUGUUAACUAAUGACAUGCAUUCUGUAAAAAAGAGGUGCUUUCCCGUGAUGUAGGCCUGAAGUGGUGCCAGUGAGCACAGGUUGGAAAUGUGAACUGUGGUGACUGGGUUCAGCAUUUCCAAUGCAGCAUUAUCAGUGGGCCUUUAAAGAUACUUUGUGAGUAUAUAUUAGCUUUCACUUUUGUUAUUAAAUUAUAGCAGUUCUAUUAUAGAGAGCAAGUUUGAUAGAGAGCAAGUUUGCCUUGAUUUGAUUUUGUUUAAAAUGACUUCUCAGCACCCAGGAGAAAAAAUUGACAUAUUUUUAUAAUAUAAGCAUACUUUUUUUGUACAUUGUGUUCAUUCUUGAAUAAAGUAAGUUCAGUGUUGGCUUGUAGAUAAUAAAAAGAAAGUAAGUAUUUGAUUUUGUUUCAAUAAAUGUUUUUCAAUCCUGG
ensembl:lncRNA CDC42 small effector 2